rnacentral:rRNA from 1 species
AUACGAGGGGUGCAAACGUUAUUCGGAUUAACUGGGCGUAAAGGGUGUGUAGACGGUUGAUUAAGUUUGUUGUUAAAUCUCUUGGCCUAACCGAGAGCUUGCGAUAAAAACUAAUCGACUUGAGGGUGAAAGAGAGAAGCGGAAUUCUCGGAGUAGCGGUAAAAUGCGUAGAUCUCGAGAGGAACACCGAUGGCGAAGGCAGCUUUCUGGACUGUAACUGACCCUCAUGGACGAAAGUUAGGGGAGCAAACAGGAUUAGAAACCCGGGUAGUCC